AAACAGAAAAACAAAUGAAUUCAAACUGAUCAAAAUAUCAGAGAGUUUGCCUAUCUUCUUGCUAUUUAAGCCACUGUCGACUAACUCCUGAGCCUUGACUAUGUACACAUGUCUCUAUAUCAAAACUUUAAAGAUAGACAAGAACAACACAUAACUUGUCCAAAUGUGAAGCUCAGCAAACAUAUAAUUACCAUAUUGAAGUAAAACAGACUUUGUUUUAUCAGGACCUAUUGUGAAUAGGAUCUGAUCCUUUUCUAACUCUUCGUUUGCUCGAGCGAUUGGGAUCAAAUGUUUUGCUUACUGGUGCUGGUUUAACAUUUGUUGUGUUCAAUUCUUUUGUGACUAACCCCGCGAGCAUAUGCUGACUCCUUGACAUUAGCCCCUGCUGUCUUGUGCUCCAUCUCAAAACAAGCUGUGAACUUGUUAUAGAAUAAGAUUUUUCUGGAAAUACUGCUAAUAGUCCUAUGCAAAUAAGGAGCACAAAUGGCUUUUGAGUAGUAAAAAUCAUGGUUUCUUCUGGUGUUUGGGAGAAAAUAGAAAUAUCAGUAGCAUUUAUAUCAUCAAUAAGAUUUUUUUUCUUUUGUGACUAUUUCUGUAGAUAUGAGCCUUCUGGUUUAUUUCUUAUAGGAUUUGGAAAGAAUAAAACAGGAGGGGUCCCAGAAUAUGUCAAGGAGUUUAGAUUCACUCUAAUCAUAAUAUGUACAGAUGAAGCAAAUUAAGGCUGUUAUAAAAGGAAUAGGUAUGACUAGGGUUGAAUAAAGGCCUUGGAACAACAUCUUUGAGAAGCUAAGCAUAUUUUUUCACUUGUUUCCAUAUGUCUCUAUCAUUAGCCUUGCCUUUGUCUUCUAAACAAAGACCAAUUUGGUCACUUGAACUAGUAGUCAACAUGCCACAUCAUCUCACUGUGCUUACAUGUAAAUGCCAUUGGAAUUUAUGUUGUGCGGACUCUCCAAAAUGAUGCCGCACUCGUGUCGGAUCCUCCAAAAAUAUACUAUUUUUGGAGGAUCCGACACGCACCCAGCAAUAUUUUCGAAGAGUCCGAGCAACAUAGACCGGAAUUCCAAUUAAUUAUUGUGUUUAACUUUUAUAUAGUAAAGAUAUACUCUCAGUGUAAUUUAAUCUAUCAUAGUAGGUUGCCAACCCAAUUUAUCACGUUUCUAAUUACACUUAUUAUAAACCGUCACUGUACUUAUUUUUAGGUGAUGUACUAGUACAAAAAAAUUUUAGGUGAUGUACUAGUACAAAAAUCUCUUUGCGUUGUCAGUAUAUAAAAGUUAAACUCUUAAUUAUGAUGUUCUUGAGUGUACAUGCUAUAUUUGCUAAUCAAAGCUUACUUAGGUAUUAAGGAAGAAAGUCUUUUUGGUGAGAUUAAGCAGCCAAACUACAAGAUUGGUAAAGCAAAAUGUGAUAAAAAAAAAAAAGAAAUGUGGGGGAGUAGAAAAUCUUAUUCCCCUAAUAAAAAACCAAACACUAGCUUUAUGCCAUCAGGAAAAUCUCACUUUAGAAUUCCAAGCUCUCUUCUCUAUGCAGCAAAAACAGCAGUCCUGGUUUCUUGUGCUAAAUGUGUUUCUUUAUGCUUUUCUUUUGCUCUUUAUUUUGGUUGACAGGUCCAGUAUUCCCUAUUCAAAUAAACCCAAUCCAAGUGUAGCUUUCUCUAAUUUGAAAUUAAUUAUUUUUGCUUUUCUUUUUUCUCGUUUAACCAGGCUGACCACUUUUUUUCUUUAUUUUGCUUUGAUCUAGUGUAUGAUAUUAGAGAAAAUCACAUGCAAGUUGGAACAUUCUAAAGCGUAGGAUAUGAUACUUUAUUCAAUUGCACUGUGCCAAUGGAUUGAUCUUAACAGUGAAAUUGUCCAACUUAUAUAACCAUGAAAAAUAUUUUGGGUUUCUAUUCUUUUUAUAUUUGUUUACACACACACACACACAUUUUCUCUUGCAACAUAGGUAUAUGGACCUCCUCUAUAGUAUUUACAAAAUUACAAUGACAUAGAGAGAGAUUAGCACAACCCAUAUGGAAGACAGAGGCAGAUGUAGGAUUUUGAAUUUAUAAGUUUUGGAUGCUAGAAAGGUAGAUUAUUUGAGUAUUGGAUAAAUUUUUAUACAUAUUUCGUACAAUUUUUAACAUAAAUACAGAAUUUAGGCUAAAACUACUGAGUUCUGCUUAAGCAUAAUUGUAGCUCUGCACUAGAUUUAAGACUAACUUGUACAUAUCAAGAAAAGGUUGUUAUAUCAUGUUAAGAAAAUGAACGUGGAGCAUAACCUCAAAUCUAACUCAUAAGGUUAAAAUUGUCCAACCAAGGUAGAACACUCUAAACCCUUUAAUUUCUCCUCCAAAUAAAGUAGUGAUUCGGUAUUGGAGGGAACUAUUAAUUUGCCGGUGUGCUAAUAUAAAGUUAGACGUACUUAUUAAAUGCUCUAAAGCUAAGGUUUGGCCAUGAGAAUCUUGAUUUGUUGUUUCAUGAUUUCGUCCUAUGUCCUAAGGAGCUAACUUUAUUUAUUUAUUAUACGUAAAAAGAGCUAAAGACAAAAGUUCAUUUGUAGAAAAGUAGAAGACUGCAUCCAAAUGGGAAAUUUGAUGCUUACAAUGCAUUCUGCUCUGGAGACUUCGAGAUUUUUACUUCUUAGGCUUAUGAGUUUGGACGUCUUCUACGAAGAAAUAAAUCAAGAAUUUGUGCAUUGUUUUGUUUUGGUACCGUAAUUAAAUAGAGCAUAUGAGUUAUGACAUUCCACGAAUAUGAUUAUGUAUAAGCAUUCAAAAAAACUAAUUUUGAACUUAUAAUUUCAAUACUGAAAUGAGUUCAACGGUAAGAACCUAAAAAUUGAACCCGGCAAAGUUGAAUCAUACAUGAAAUUACACCUUAUCUGCUAACAAAGAUCUCGUAUAGACAUAAUGAUGUAAUUGGUAACAGAUCGCUGGAGAAUAUCGAACUUUAAGUUGUGUGGGCUCACAAAGACAACUCUUUGUUAAAGCUUAAAUUUUGAAAGACACAGUGGGACACUGCAAACAGAAUGUUUACCAAAUCAGUAGUUCAAGAAAAACACUUUUUCACUUUUAAGUUAAUUCGGCCAAAUAUAUAAAUUGUACAAAGGGGAAAGGAUUCCUAUUAACGUGGAUACAAGAAUGUUCGUCUAUAUAUGCAUCUAAUAGUGUUGAUCUUUCUACAAAACCUUAAAAAUAAAUAUUCAACAGUAAUUUGAAAUAAAUUCGAGAUGGCGAGUUUUUAGCUGACAUGAAAAGCCAGGGGUCCCUAUAAGACAUACAGUAUGUUACAAAACUGGUCUUAUCCAGAUGUGAAGAUUGUACUAAAUGUUAUAGUUACACAUGCCAAGAUCAAAAGAAUGUAAUAUACAGCUUGGUAAAAAUUGUUGGUUCUUGAAACAUCAGUAUGCUGCUAUUAUCCAUAAUACUACUUACAAAACAGAAUGCAGCAUUUAGGGUUAAAAGACGAGGCCGGUUGCUGGAACCUUUCAUAAAAGGAACUGGUAUGCACAUGUCACAACUCUUUUAAACACGAUCCAGUGGUGCAGGCACAGACGAGUCUGCCGAUGCAGGGACAGAAGGUGUAGCUGAUGCCAUGGCAAACUGUACACCUGUCGACUGCCCAGAUUGUACCACAAAUGCAAAUUGUGCUGUUGCUAAUGCUGCUGCCUCCUGCUUCACCAAACCAUGAUCACAAGCUUUACGAUCAAUUGUCAGUAAAGAAACAUAUACGACGCUUAUUUAAAGUAUUUUGGCAAAUUUACAGCAAAAUAUUCAAACAGCAGAACUAACAUCAACCUCUCUUUGCCUGCGCUGCUGCAAAAUGCUGAUGGCCCAGACCAUGAUGUAGCACGGUAAAAGAAAGCCAAUUAACCGAAGCAAGAAAAGCUGCAAGACCACACAUUGAUUGGACAUAUAGUUUCCAGCAUUAAUAAGAAAUCUUUUUACAAGAAAUAGAUAGAAGAAAAUAGCACAUAUGGAUAUCCAAAAUUACCGAGAAGAAAGCAGAUGGAUCUUCGUCGUCUCCGUCUGCAUCUGCUACAGGUAAUGCAUGGCGCAAGAGCAGAAAAGCCAUUAACUGCCAGUCAAAAAAUUAUGUGGAUCAUCAGUAUUAAUUGCAACUUUAAUAAAUACCAGUGUCUUUGUAGACACCAGCUCCAACUCCAACCAAAUAAUGACAUAAAGGUGUAACUGUUUCUAAAUUGACAUUUUCUUCAGAGCCUAUUGAAAUAUAGAAAAUAAAGGAAACCUUUAGAUAAAUGAAUAAGCAUAGUGGAAGAAGCAACAUCUGUGUCCCUAAAAAAUUUCUCUUGUUUACCUACAAGAAUAGUUUUAAAAACUCAGCAUUUUGGAUUAUUGUUGUUCUUUGGAGUGGAAGUGACUAAGAGGUAUUUACCCACUCCUACACUGAGUUGCUUGGAUUCGGGUGCGGGCGUUUGAUACGGGUGCAGAUCUAGAGGUUGGAUCCUUCGUGGUCUAAAUUUUAAGAGUAGGGGGUACGGAUCCAGGUAAGGGCGCGGGGAUUCGGCUAAAAAUAAUUCAAAUAUCUAAAAAUAGAGUUAGACGUUAUGAGGAAAACUUAGAAGGUGUUUUGAGAAGGAGAAAAUAUUGAUCAAGAGGAGAAUCCGAGAAGGAGAUAAAAGGAAAAGGCCUGACAUAGGAAUUUCUAUAUACAAGGUAUUUCAUUUUCUUCAAUUUUACCUUAGCUAUUGUAUUGAUUUCAGAAAUCAUUGGAUCUAUCCCAACUUUCUCCGUUAAUUUUGGUCAAAGUACCCAAAAUUGGUUGACCAGAUCCGCUACGGAUCCCACAACCACACCAACGUCGUGUCAACACGUGUGCGGAACCAAAAGUAAAGAGUCCAAGCAACUUAGCUCCUACAAGGUGAAUCAAGCUUGACUGAGGCAAUGAGAGAAGAGAUAGAGGCUCAGAAUUCUAGCUUUUCUCUGGGACAAAUAGCAGUAAAUGCUUACAAUUAGAGCAGCAGAACGGCAGAAUGCAACGCCACUUGCAUUUGUGGCAUUAUAAUCAUCAUAUUCAGCUUCCAAAAGUUGACGUUCAGCCUCUCUAAUCGCCAAAAAGCGAGGAUCAUGUAAAUCAAGAGGGGUCCCAGCGAUUUGCCAUCCUCCCCUGCACAACAGUGAGGCAACAAAAUAGCUAAUGAACUACGAAGUAAAAAUGCUGAAUCUUCAUUACCAACACCACCACUUAACUAAUAUUUGAAAAGAAAAAAACAAAUAGGAAACAAUAUAACACAAUGACCAUGAUUCAUCUAAAUUGUACACAGUAUUGUUAAAGGCGAAGCAUGCUUUGGAGCUUUACGUGCAACUGCAAUUAAAAUGAGCCGUAAGUGAAGAAAAACUAAAAGUUACAUCUUACAUCUUUAAAUAUACAUAUACAGAUAUAUAAGAUGAAAAACCUAUUAAGUAAAAAUAACAAGUAUGUAUGCAGAGGAAUUGGAAUAACUUUGAUUAAGUGAAAAAUACGCAAAAGCACGUCAAUCAAGUUAAAAAACCACCCUAAAUAUGCAGAUUAGUGUCUAACUCAGAUUUAAUGACUAGUUUUCUUACUGAACUUCCAGUUCCCAUAACCUCCUCCUCCUCCUCCUUAAUGGCCUGAUGACUCUCAUUGGUAUCACAUAUUACAUAUUCUUUUCUCUUUGAAUUGUUCUCUUAACAGUUACUACAUUAUUUUGAUUGCCAUACUUAUUUAGAGGUGACCCUUUUGAGAUACCAACCAUGAUAUUCCCAAACUAACCUAAUUUAAAAAGGAAAAAGGUCCGAAUUGCCAUUGUACUAUCUGAAAAUGCUCAAUUUUACCCUCCAUUAGACUUUUGCUCAAUUCAUAACCUUGCCUAUAGCAAAUAGUCUCGUACUUGACAUUGAUGGAGCUCCAGCGUGAAAUGGAUGGACUCCGCAUGCCCAAAUUCUUUGAGGAAAAAAGAUCCAAAUUUACCCCUCAACUUUUGACUAUGGUUUAAAAUUGCCCUUGGGUUUGGGGCUCCAUUUGGGGUCAAGUGCGAAAAGAAACCUUUUCCUAGUGGCAAGAAAAAUAUUAAACCAAAAGUCCAAUGGACGACAAAGUUACUCAAUUUUGAAUAGUACAGGGCAAAUCAUUUGCCCCCUUUCCCAAUUAAAAAUGUUGGCUGGUUGGUAUUGUUGUAGGUGAAUGCCUCCGCGCCUCGGUGCCUUAGUGAAGUAUGCCUAUCCUAGAAAAAUGCUCAGCAGAGUGUUGUGCCUCAUUACAAUACUCAAGCAUGCCUUUAACAACACUAUUUGAAAAGCUAACAUAAAAGGGAAGACAUAAGAGAAAAUUAACAAAAAAAAUAACCAGUUAAGAAAGUAAACUCACCCAAUAUCUAUAAUAGUCUCCUCUGGCUGAGCUCGAGGAGGGGCAGUGUAACCAGGUUGGUAUGGCUGCAUGUUGAAAAUAAAAAUGAGAAGUUAUUAUAUGAUACAGUAAGAUGGAAGAACAAUAGAAAAUGCAAUAAUCUAAAAGCAUCAAGCUCAAUCAAAAGUUCCCAGAAAUCUGUAAUUACUGAUGAUCAGAUGGCGAACUACAUAUAGCCCCAAGAGGCUUACAAAAGAGAAUAGAAUGACUAUAGGUGAAUACAAAAACAUUGACUUGACAAACCUAAGCAUUGAUCCUAUCUAUAAUAAAGAAAUUCGAAUCUUGCACUCAUGCAUAUGUAUGUAAUACAUCAAAAUCAUGAUUGUAAUAUAGAAAUUUUAGACAAGUAAAAAGCUUCCAAAACUAAAAGUCUAGUGAGACAUUGAGGUAAUUUGCAAGAACAUCCUCAUUGACAUACGUGCUCAUAUCAUAAAAUGAAACUAUUUUCUUUGAGAAAGAAAAAGAAUUCACAUCACAAAACAUAUCACAUUGAGUACCGUGAUUCAGUUCCAUGUGCUAGAAGGAACCAUUUCUUUUCCACUGGACAACUUAACAAAAAGAACAAAUAUUAACGAAUGGUGACAAAAGCAGGAAAACUUUUACUUUCUCUUUGGUGAUUUUUUUCCUUUUUUGGCAUACGAUGAAAACAGGCUUAUUUAAUAAACAAGUCUUUUCACCUAUCUCAUAAUAUGCAACAUUGUGCAAAUCAACUAGAACAGAGACAUACCUGAUGGCAAAUCUCACAAGUAAUGUCGCCCUUCUCAUUGCACCAGUGUUGAACACAUUUCCGAUGUGCAUACUGCAGGUCAAUUGCAUUUACUAAAAUCAUUAGCACUUAGACAAACUACUCAUACAUUAAAAGAAAAGCAGAACAAUUAAAGAAAGAAAAUACGGCGGAAAGACUGUAGAGCUGAGCAAGAACUUGAAAUACCUAACUGUAAUAAAUCACAUGCUCUAUCAGUACAAUAAAUGAAAACAGCAAAAUUGAGACUUGUGCAACCGGAAUAAGGGAAGAAAGGUUGUUUUAGGGGCUCCAGAUAAUCGCCUAAAACAUGGAUGAGAUCACCAAUGAGCAGAGGCAGACCCAGAAUUUUAACGCGACGGGGGCACCAAUAUUCUUCUCAAACAAAGUCCCCUAAAGGCUUUUAGUGUUCAGGUUGCUAAGUGAUUUAAAUUAACCAUUUUCAAGGUAUGUUCAUAUACAUAUACAAAAUUUCUGUCAAAGUUUACGGGGUUAGGUGACCCCUCAAGGUUACACAUAGGUUUGCCUCUACCAAUGAGGCACCAUGGAGACAUAACUAAGCAAUCCUAAGAACGGACAAGACCACCAUCACCCAGAGGAUAGCACACAAGGGAAUUUGGGCAGCCUAUGAAAUGAUUGUUGACGUACAGUUGACCAGGAGAAAGAUCCUAACUCAAGACAAAAAGUAAAAGCUGACUUCUAAUGAACAAUUUAUGGAAGACAAGAGAAGGAACAAUUAGGAAAAGGGAGUUUCAAGAAAACAACUAAAAUGUAAGGUGUGCAUGGGUAUGAGUGUAUUUGAAUAUUUUUGCGACUCAAUAAGAGAAUAUCUAAAUUUGCUAACAACAAAGAUAACGGGAGUGAAAAUAGAAAAUUCACCUUGAGACUUCCACUACAAGCACAAGGGCUCUCCAAAUUGUUCAAGGAAUCUUCGUCUUGGCAAAUGCGGCACUCUGCAUUCCCAAUUAAUGGAACCUCCUCAUUAGCUUCUUCUUCUUCUUCCAUGGCCAAUUCUUUCUCCUUUCCAGUCUUUGAAGAAGAGGGUCCUUCCACUUCUGGCUUCUUCCUGUUCUCAACGGCAAUUUGAACCGUUUCUCCUCCAUCUGGGUUCACAACCCGGUCAUCAUUCACCACCAAAUGCUCUCCCAUUUUAUACAACGACAAUAUUCCUACAUUAGAAAACAAAACUCCUAUUCUCAAUCGGGUCCCAAAUUAGUUGAACUUCGUUUGUAUGAAUAAAGGUGAGAUCUUUUUUCAGAAAAUCAAAAAUAAAAAACUAAUUUCGCGGUUUGGGGUUAAUUAUAUGAAUAAAGGUAAGAUCUUUAUUCACGAAAUCCAAAUAAAACACCAAUUUCACAAUCUGGGGUAAGAAAUUAUAUGAAUAAAAGUGAGAUCUUUAUUCCAGAAAUCAAAAUAACCACCAAUUUCACAAUUUGGGUUUAGUCAUAUUAUACGAGCAAAAGCAAGAUAAUCCAAUAAAAGAACAAUAACAACUAUAUCUCACCUUCAAACUAGUUGAGAUCAUAUGAUAGAUUUGAUAGAAAAGGGAAAAAAUAAAAGAAAAUUGGAUACAGGCCUGGGAAAUUUCUACAAAAAGAAAAUCACCGCUCAAGCCGAGAAACUCAGCAAGAACAGCGAUCUCUAAAAAAAACAAGUCAAAUGGGAAAGAGAAAUUAUUUAAUUAAAAAAAAAAGAAGAAGCAGAGAAAAGUAGUAGUAAAAUGUACCUGAAGAAAGAGAGAAUCAAAAAAUGAUAGUGGAAAAGGAGAACAAAUACGCGGUUUUGUUGCACAACCAAGAAAAAAAAUAAUGGAGGAGGUAGAGUUUGUAUUUAAGCUUUGAAAUUGUACAAACCGAACACCGAAUGUCCGCGUUAUUUUUUGUUUUUUGUUUUUGACCUUUUCUUAUUGUUAUUUUUUGUUAGCGGUCUUCCUCGUAAAAUUGCUCCAAUUAGAAGCUUUACAGCUUUAUCCUUUUUGUUUUUGGAACAAUGUAUUGCAAGUACAUAGGUAUUCAAAUUUUAGGAUUAAUUGCACAAAAGGACAUCACAUUUAUAACGGAAAAGGGUCAAAACCAUCCUUAUUGUUUGCUAAAUGGUUUAUAAAUAUUCUCCGUCUAUUUAUCCGUUCAAAAAAAUACACUCCGUCCAUUUAUCCGUUCAAAAGAACACACGAAGUUAAUUUUAUUAAUAAAAAUACCUCCGCGAUUAACGACAGAACUGAUGGAGUGUAUUUUUUUGAACGGAUAGAUGGACGGAGGGUAUUUAUAAACCAUUUAACAAACGAUAGGGAUAGUUUUGGCUCUUUUUCGUUCAUUUAAUGAAAUGACGAUUUUUAAUUGGGCCACGUGGCAAUCUUUUACUGCAAUCUUUUACCCAUUUACCUGGUCCGACCCUAUUUAUUUGACCCGCCUAAUUAUUUUCUUUCUUUUUCUUUGCUUUCUUUUCCCUCUCUUUUUCCUUAUCACCUAGCACACCCACUCUCAUCUCACAAAGAAUUUUUAGCGUUUCUUUGUUGAAACAAAUCUUUCUUUGUGUUUGAAAAUAUGGCUUUGGCUUUGGCUUUCACUUCAUCUGUAAUUCAUGGCUCUUUGUCCUCCUCUUUUUUUUUUAUGAACAUCCCAAAGGUAACCAUUUACUCUCUUUUUUACCUUUUAUAGAUUCAAUCUUUAUCCUAGAAUGUGAUAAUUUCAAGCUUAUUAGCACCUUGGUUUCAAUUUUCUUGUGUGCUUGUAUCUGUUAUAUGUAGUUAUUUUUUUCUCUGUUAUUUCGUGGCUCUUUUGUCUUCUUAUGAACAAUCCAAAGAUUUCCAUUACUUGUCCUUUACAAAGUUUCAAUAUUUCUCCUAGAUUUGAUUGAUAUAUUUGGACAAUUUUAGCAUUUGGACUCAAUUUUUUUGUUUCAGAUUUUUAGUUUGUUUUGAUCAUUGUCUUCUUACUUAACAAUCCAAAUGUAUCUGUUGAUUUUCCAUUUAAGAGUUUCAAUACUUAUUCUGAGUUUGAUUGGAGAAAUUUCAGAAUCUGAUUUGAAUUUCGGGUUAUUUGAUUUUGGGUUUUAUCUAUUCUUUAAUUAAUUUGUUAUUGUGUGUAUGCAGUGUCCCAAUUGGAGAAGAAGAAAGGGGGAGAUCAGAUGAGUGGGAAUGGGUGUAAUAGAUACUACCCAUUUUUGUAAAGGGGUCGGAUAAGGUAAAUGGGUUGAAAUAAUAUCCAUUUUUUGUUCCAGUCAAAGAUUGCCCCGUGGCCCAAUUAAAAAUCGUCAUAUCACUAAAUGAACGAAAAAGGGCCAAAACUAUCCCUAUCGUUUGCUAAAUGGUUUAUAAAUAUCAUCCGUCCAUCUAUCCGUUCAAAAAAACACACUCCAUCAGUUCUGUCGUUAGUCGCGGGGGUGGUUUUGUUAAUAGAAUUAACUUCGUGUGUUUUUUUGAACGAAUAGAUGGAUGGAGUAUAUUUUUUUGAACGGAUAAAUGGACGGAGAGUAUUUAUAAACCAAUUAGCAAACGAUAGGGAUAUUUUUGACCCCUUUUCGCAUUUAUAACCUUAUUGCAGAAAAAAUACUAAGCAAAUUUUUUUAAAGAAAAAAUCACUAUACUUUCACUACAUAACUUAGAAUCUUAACUUGUCCAAAAAUCAAUCAACCUUCACCAAAAUUCACCAAGUCUAAUUUCACUUCAUUUCUCUCCAUUAAGAAAAUUAUUUUGGACUAAAAAGAAUCAUUUAGCUAUUAAAAUGAUUUUCUGAUGGAGAAAUUAUUUUAAAUUAGGUUUGGAAGUUUACCGAAUAUCAUUAUUAAAAAAAUGUACGUACCCUUUGUUUUUUGUCCACAAACCUAGCAGUAUUUCAUGGGUCAGGGAGUUUGAGGGGGCAUGAUAGUGUUAUUCCUUUAAUAUAUAUAUAUAUAUAUAUAUAUAUAUAUAUGAAAAAAAGAAAUUAUUAUUAUGAUCGAGGGGCUUCAAGAAUCUGUGAAAUUAAGGUGGGCGUGCAAGUGUACAAAGCUAGCUUGUCGAAUUGUUUAUACAAGUAAAAGACUACUAAUCCACUAGUAUUACAUUGUUUUAUACGAGUACUAGAUGGCCGGUGCUCGUGCUAUGCGCGAGCGUUUGUGUGACAUAGUUGUUUUUGUUAUUCGUGCACCUACAGAUUACAAAAAAAAAAAUAAAAAAAAAAAAAAAAAAAUACAACACCAAGAAGAUGUUUUCAUAGAAAAAUGCAUUUAUAUCCAAUUGCACAAAGAAAAGAAAAGGAAAAAUAAAAAUUCACGCCCAACACAAUUUCAAAAGAUAGAGGCAGUUCCCUCAAGUGCUUGAAUGUCCAUAACAUAUGAACUGUUCUCUCUUGUUGUCGAAUUGUACUUUUAUUGAGUCACUACUACACAUUAUCUCUUCCUUGUUAAGUUAUUCUUGUUGAGACCCUUAUUUCCUGUUGUGCCCUUCUUUCUGAGCUUGUUCUUCCGUUUCUUUGUGUUAUGAAGUUUUUGAGUUGAUUUACUUGUCGUAUUCUCAUAUUAUUGUUGUUGUCGUUGUUGUAUUCAAUGUUAUUGAGUUGAGGGCUAUGUGUGGUUGUAAUAUUGAAACUGCUUUGAGGAAAUAUUGUGGCAUAUGGGCACAUAUUUGAGAGCCAUUUUAUUGAGUUGCUAUGUUUUGGCACACGUGUUAUUGUUGUGAGGAUUGUUUGAGUGUUUGCACAAUGUUUCUGUCGUACUGUUGUUAUGAUGUUUACACGAGGUUUCUAUCGUGCUGUAAUGAUGUUUGCACGAGGUUUCUGUCGUGGUGUUGUUAUUAUUGAUACGCACGGACAUAUGGGCUCCUCAUUACUUCAUUAUAUGUCUUAAGGUGUUCUUCUAUUAAAUAGAUUGAUAAUAAUUCAUCACUCAAAAUAUCAAGAUCAAUAUUUUCAGUCAAGGAAGUAGUGAUAAAGUCAGGACCAAAGCUAGCUUUAACUCUACGUCUCUUACCCCUUCUAAGUUCAUUUUCAUGCUCCUUAGCAGUAACACUAGAAGAAGGCAAAAUAUGAGAAUUAACAGACAUAUUGUAGAAGCAUUAUUAUGCAUAUCACUAGGCAAAUUAUUUUACAAUGGAAAAACAUGCUCAAAAAAUUUUGCACCUCUAGAUUCACAAAUAGAACUAUCAUUCAAAGACAUAAAUCUAUACGCAGUACUAUUUUGAGCAUAAUCAAUAAAAAUAACAUCAAAAGUCUUGGGUCCAACAGUUACUUGUUUAAAAUCAGGUAGACCAACCUUAGCCAAACACCUCCACACUUUCAGAAUUUUUAAGUUAGGGGCGAACUCUUUCUAUAACUCAUAUAUGGUUUUAUCUAACUUCUUAUGAGGGACUUUAUUAAGAACAUAGCAUGUAGAUAAAAAAGCUUUCCCCCCCCCCCCCCCACCCACCACCACCACAUAUUAUCAAAUAAAAAAGCAUAGAAUUCAUUAUUUCCUUAAGGGUUCUAUUUUUCCGUACAACUACACCAUUUUGUUGGAGAGUAUAGGGAGCACUAACCUCAUGUAUAAUACCAUUAAUUUUUCUCACAAAAGGCUUCUAGAGUAUUACUACUAUAUUCACCACCCAUGUCAGACCUAAUUCUCUUGAUUUUUCUAUCUAAUUGUUUUUUUACUUUUGCCUUAUAUUUCAAAAAUAUGCUUUCAGCCUCAUCUUUUGACUUAAGAAGAUAUACCUUAAUGUAUCUAGAAAGUCAUCUAUAAAGGUGAUGUAGUAUUUCUUUCCACCCUUACUAACAAUAUUCUUGUAAUAUGCUAAGUCUGAAUGCACUAGUUCAAGCAAUUAUGUCUUUUUACUAGUUACAUUCUUAAAAGACUUUUUUGUAUGUUUUGCUUCUACACAAACAUGACACUUAGAAAAAUUAUCAACAUUAACUGCAACAAUUAAUUCUAUUUUUCUAAGUCUUUUAAUUGAAGCAAUAUUAACAUGACCUAGUCUACCAUGCCACAAAUUAAUAGACUCAGCAAUAUAAGCAGAAUUGAAAGUACUAGCAUUAUUAGUAAUCUCUUUAGCGAUGUUCAGUACAAAUAAACCCCCACUAAGGUAACCCUUCACAACAAAGUCUCCCCUACGAGAAAUAAUAACUUUAUCAGAUUCAAAAAUAAGUUUAAGACCUUUUUUUGUUGAGAAGCGCACCGGAAACUAAGUUUCUACGAAGGGAGAGUACAUACGAAACAUUGUUCAAGGCUAAGGUUUUUCCAGAAGUUAACUUAAGGAGAAUUUUUCCUUUACCCAUAACUCCAACUGUAGUGGAGUUGCCCAUGUAGACACACUCGCCAUCAGUAGAUUCCUCAAAGUCGUGAAACAGCUCCUUGUUGGCGCAAAGGUGCCUUGAAGUGCCUGUAUCCAGUAUCCAGUCAGUCUUGUUAGCCACCAUGUUCGUCUCAACGACCACAACAACAAUGACAUCACCACCCUCAUUAAGGUUAGCUUGGGCUGGAGCUUUUCCUCCCUGCUUUGAGCUUAUUCCUUAUCUCUGGUUGCAUUGAAAGACCUUGUGACUAAUUUUGCCGCAGACAUAGCAAGGUCUUUUUGACUUUUGAAUAUGGCCCACCGGUUUAUUGAAGUAAUUCUGCUUCUUUAUAUGUCCUUUCUUCUAUCUUUUCUUCUAUUUUCCUUUAAAUCUAUCUUUCACAAAAGCACUAGAAGAUUCCACAAGGUUAGCUUUAGAAGAAUUAAGAGAGAGAGAUAUUUCAUCUUAUUCUUAAGCAGUUCAGACUCCUCAUCUUUGAGACGGUUUGCUUCCUAAGUCCUCAUAUAACUGAUCAGUUCUUGAAGAGUUAAGUUUUUCUUCUUGUGUUUCAGUUGAUUCCUGUAAUCACUCCAAGAAGGGGGAAACUUUUCAAGUAGAACAUUAGCCUGAAGAAUCUCACACAUCUCCAUGCCUUCGUUCAAAACAUCAGCAGUCAAGUUUUCAUACUUAUGAACCUGCUCCAUGAUCGACUUAUUAUCAACCAUCUGAAACUUGAUCCACUUUCCAACACAUACUUCUUUUUCGCUGCGUCAUCUGUACCAUAUUUCUUCUCCAAACUGUCCUAUAUGACUUUAGCAGAUUUAUAAUUUAUAAAUAAAUUAAAGAGAUAGUUAGUCAUAUGGUUAAGCAGAUGCCCUCGAACAAUUUUAUUAUCCUUUUCAAAAAAAAUUUGCAGCAUUAUCAGCAACAACAAUAGUAGCAGCAUUAGAACUAUCAGCAACAACAUAAGCAGGAGGUUCGUUGAACAAAACGUAAUCAACUUCUAAUUGUUCAAAGAAAAUUAAAAGUUUUCGGGACCAGCGCUUAUAAUUGUUUUCAUCUAAAGGCUCAAGAUUUGAUAGAUUAGGAAGUGUUUGUUCAAAAUGUUAACCAUUAGUCAAUAUUAUAUGUAAAGAAGUCGCUUUCAAAUUGUAAGAAAAAUGAGUAGAUAAUCUUGACGAAGAACAAGAAGGAAAUAAGAACAACUUAUCAAGAAUACUGUGUCGUGACAAGCCACUGUCUUGAAAGCGAUUUCGGCCCGACUGGAUGCAAAUUGUUAAGAACGGUCGCUCCCCAAUGUUCUACAACAUCUCCAAACACAUGCACUCCUGGUUGGAAGUUUGGAAUUUGCACAAAAAAAUUACCAAGAAAUCGGUUGAAGAAGAAGAAAGAUGAAGGCGUUUUCUGUGUCCUAUUAUUCACAAAUAAGAAUUUGGAUUAGGCCUCACGCAUAUCUCGCGCGUAGGAAGGGGGGGUCAUAUCAACCACUAUUACCUUCAGGACUAAUUUCUCAUGUGCGUGAGACUACUCCUUUUUACUAGCUUUUUACAAGCCCAACAAAGAAAAAAUUUAAUAUAAGAAGAAGAAAAAGACUUACCACAACCAACGAGGGACACUUUGUCUUUCAAAAAAGACAAAAAAGUAAAGAAGAAAAAGGAACCACAAAAAAAUCUUUGGCUUUGCAUUAUCAAGUAUAAUAAUACCAACAAUUGCCACCCCCGGUCGCAAGUAAUGCAAGUUACAUAGUUGAUAGCACCUAAUCUUCUAAAACUUUUUUAUGAAACAUUAAUGCGUUUUGAACAUUUAAUUAGAUUGUACUGCUUCCUUUUCCGUGAUCAUGUCGUGUUAAGUGCUUGAUCUUGUCACUAGAAUGAAAAUGUCUUCUUAGCUAAAACCUUUGUGAUAGCAGUGCAAAAUAACACAAACAGCACCACAACCUAUCUAGUUUUGUUAGCCCAUUGAAGUCUUGCGAUGGGCUUCUGCAGUUUAUAGAUAGAUUAGAGGCUGUUUGGGUUAAUUCUUCUAUCCCUACAAAGUGUAAAAAUUGCACGGGGCGCUCUAUUUGGUCGCCCUCAUUUAACUUAUACCAAUUUUUUUAAAUUUUUUUAAUAUGUAUCCAUUUUUAAUCAACUUCAGUCCCCUUUCUCCUCCUCCUUCUCCUCCUCAAAGUUAUAUCCGCCCUCAAUCCAAUAGUUCCAUUAGAAGAAAUUCAAAGCUUUUUAGCUUUUUUCUUGUCCUCUCCUGCAGCAGAGGCUUGACGACCUAAUGAAUUCAUAUGUUAAAACAGAUUAGAGAAUCUAUUCAUUCAAACACAUGUAAUCUCUACUAAAUUUGCUAGAAAUAAUUGAUAAAAGAGUAUACUGAAAAAGAAAAAGACAUAAAUAAGAGAUAAACCUUCCAACAAGCUGAAAGAUAUAUGGAGCAUUCACAAUGUAGUAGGCUGAAGUUCAACUCUAAGAAGGCUGAAGUUCGCCAGUUACAAACAAAAACUUCAGCUCUAGAGCUGAAGUUCGACAGCUACAAAACAAAAACUCGCCAAUUACAAAACAAAAACUUUUGCCAGUUACAAAAACAAAAAUGCUACUUCAGUCCCGUCUACUUGAAUGCUGAAGUUUUGCGUGAUUGUCUUUGCUACUUUAGCCCCGGAUGCUGAAGUUAUGCUAAAAAGUGGGUACGCUUACAAUUUUUUUUGCAAAGCGGCACAAGUUAAAACGUGACCAAAAGUGGGUAUAGAUGCAAAUGUCCCUACAAAGUUAAAGUUUCGUGGCCCAUGAAGGCUGGACCAACGACUAGUUACCUAUUCGGCUUGUUAUGUAUUCAUCAUCAAGGGGUGUGGUUAGGGGUGUGCAUUCGAAUCGGUUUAUCGAUAAAUCGAAUCGAUUAUUUGUUAUCAGUUUAUCGAUAUCGGUUUCGAUUUUGAUUUCGAAAUUUUCCUUAUCGAGUUAUCGAUUUCGAUUUCGAUUUUGUCCUCUUCGGUUAUCGGUUUAUCAAUAAACCGAUAAGACCAACUUUUUUUUGUUAUCGGUUUUUGUUAGAAUUGUACCGAAUUAGUCAAGCUCUCAAGGUUCCAAUCGAUAGCCAAAAAAGAACCAAUAUAUUUUCUUCCAAAUCGACCGUCUCAAACUGAUACAACUCUACAUAUGCCUUCCUCCAUCUCCUUCUUCAUCUCUGACUAUAAGUUCUCUCUUCUCCAUCUUUCUAUUUUCUCAUUAUCCUUUUGAUCUUCUUUCAUGGACUUUUCAUGUACAACUCUCGUGGCUUCUUCAACUUCUUUUAAUUUUCUUUCCCUUACACCACAAACUUUUCUUAUACAUAGGCCUAGAGAGAGAUAAUAAUACAAAAAAGACCAACUUUUUUUUAUACUGUUGGAGUAUUGGUGGCAUACAUUUGAUCCCUUAUAUUAGUUUCGUUGCAUGUGCUUGUUGACACAAUUUUUAUGUUAUAAAUGGUGUUCGUCUUAUUUUAGCUUCUUUUUGUCCAUAUUAGUUAAACGUGUUUAUAGCGAUAUACUUUCCGUGGAAUCCCGCAAAUUUUCUUAUUUGUGUAAUCGAUAAGCCCCAAAAAUCAAUAAAUCGAAAAAAUCGAAACCUUAUUGCAAUGAUAACGAUAAGCAUAUGUACAAAUCGAUAAUCGAUAUGUAAUUAUCGAUAAGGAUCAAAUUCGAAUCGAUAAAUCGAAUGCACAUCCCUAGGUGUGGUGGGAUGGUUGAGAUUCCAUCACCCUUAAUCAGAGUUUCGCAUUGGAGUCCUGAGAAGUCCUGAGAAUAAAGAACUUUUUUAUAGAGAGCUCUUUACCCCCUUAGUUGUGAAUCUCGAUUAAUUAGUCGGCCAAUGGGCUUCGGAUACCAUAUGAUUAAACCAAAAAAAAAAAGCCUAUCCCAUCAAAUUUGAUUGACAACUUAAUGAUCUAGGAACUAAAGAAAAGUAAAAGAUAGUGCUGUAAGGCAAAAAGAAGAGAAAAAAAUGGAUGAAGAUAUAUUACUACAAAAGAAGAAUGAAGAACAAGUUUAAUAAAUAAGCAACCUGUCCAUUGCUCAUUACUGCACUAGUUAACUGGAUUAUUACAUAGUAACACAAAGCAACCAUUUCCAUCUCUAGCUAAAGCUGAGGAAAGAAACGUUCUCAAAUUUAUCCAACUCCUACAGACACUCCUAAUUGCGGAUGGUAAAACAGUCCACCACUGCAAUCCUAUUCUGUAUUGCAACAGAAGGAAAACAAAGAUAUAAAGCCUAAAACAAUGGCCUCAAGGUUCCCAAAACCUAUGUUGCAUGGACUCUCUAAAAUGUUGUCACACCCGUGUCGGAUCCUUCAAAAAUAAAUACACUACUUUUGGAGGAUCCGACAUGCAUCCGGCGACAUUUUCGGAGAGUCGGAGCAACACAGCCCAAAACUAGGCUAUACUUUUA
rnacentral:lncRNA from 1 species